UUUUAACCCAGGCCCUCAGAAAGAGAAGUAGUAGUCUGAGCUGAGCAGAUAUCAGGCUGAGCAGCUUUUGGAACACCUUGGAGAUUGUGACUCUCCCCAUUGUAGGAGAACUCUGCAACCUUCAAGAUGGAAAAGGCCACCUUCAGUUCUUACUGAUGUCAUUGGGAUUUUUCAGCUUCUGCUGUACUUGUGGAUGAAAGUGAAGGCUGUAAAGAGCUUCUACAUAGUUUAACAUGCAGCACAUGGUGACAAGCGUAUAACAGCACCAUGUUUCCCAGAAUCAGAUUCUGGUCAACAGGCUGAUCUAGCAACUCCAGGAACUGCCUCUCUUGAUGAAAGACUGAUGUAGCAGGCUCACCUUUCAGAGCUUGGGUUGAGUCCCAGGCUUGAGAUCCUGCUGUUUUGAUUGGUAGAGCCCAUCCACCAAUCAGGAGACAGUAGGAGAAAACAUCACACCCCUUUUCUGAGGGGAAAGGGAGUAGAGCUCCCUCAGACCUGAUUGAAGACUAAACUGUCAGGUAUGGAAGACUUCAGGGGUGGAGCCCUGGAGCAUAUAAAAGGAGCUGUGUUCCCAGCAAGAGGGCAGAUGCAGCGAGGGUCUCAAGAAGAGCGGAGCCAAGAAAAGCUGGGGAGCUGUCCCUCAGUGGGCAAAAGGUCCAAGGCUCCUGAAGCUGCCACUGAAGGAGCAGCCUUGGGACUGGUGCGAGACCGCUCGGGCUGUUGAUGGUGCACAGGGAUGGUGCAUGGAGACCCAGCCCUAGGAGUGAUGUGAUACUGCUCAGGCCCAUCACGGUGCACAGUUCAGUGCACAGAGCCCAGGCUUUGGGAGCUGCAAGCAGUGGCUUGAGCCUGCAACCCCAGCAGGGCCUUGGGGGCUGCAGUAAGGUGGCUCAGGCCCCAUCUCCCAGCAAGCGGCCAGGUCCCACGGUGCACAGGGCAAUGCACAGGCCCAAGCCUUGGGAGCCAGGGAGCAGCAGAGGACAGCUGGCCAGAGCCUGAAGGGCCCAGCCUACACUGAGAGCCCUCAGUUUCGAGUCGGGGCACAGGGAAAUAGUAGUGCUGCAGCGUGAGGCCCAGCACCCAGGCACCAGCAGCAGUAGUGCAACAGCUGAGAGGAGGUGAGCCCUCAGUGCCCAGAGGGGGCACAGGGUGGAGAGGAGCCCAGCAGUGCAGGAGAGACCUGGAGAGGCACUGCAGCAGAGGAGACCCCAUCGAGCUGUGCAAAAAUGUUUGGGGUGGGCAAACCCAGAGAAGGGGCUGGGUGAACAUCCCCCUGCCUAGUCAAGACACUAAGGGGAGGGGCCCCAGGUGCUUCCUGGACACCCCCCAGGGACCCCAUUGGAAGGAGGACUAUUUCUUGCCAUGCAUCAGGGACUAUAUUAAGGAAAUAGAUGUUAUUAAAAUUGUUCAUGUUUGCGCCUUAUGUUUUGUAAUUGAAAUGUUGUAUUGUGAUUUUGUAAAUAGUGUUAUUUAGGGUUUGACCUUGG